GAACGGGUGAGUAACACGUGGGUGAUCUGCCCUGCACUUUGGGAUAAGCCUGGGAAACUGGGUCUAAUACCGAAUAUGACCAUGCACUUCCUGGUGUGUGGUGGAAAGCUUUUGCGGUGUGGGAUGGGCCCGCGGCCUAUCAGCUUGUUGGUGGGGUAAUGGCCUACCAAGGCGACGACGGGUAGCCGGCCUGAGAGGGUGACCGGCCACACUGGGACUGAGAUACGGCCCAGACUCCUACGGGAGGCAGCAGUGGGGAAUAUUGCACAAUGGGCGCAAGCCUGAUGCAGCGACGCCGCGUGAGGGAUGACGGCCUUCGGGUUGUAAACCUCUUUCAGCACAGACGAAGCGCGAGUGACGGUAUGUGCAGAAGAAGGACCGGCCAACUACGUGCCAGCAGCCGCGGUAAUACGUAGGGUCCGAGCGUUGUCCGGAAUUACUGGGCGUAAAGAGCUCGUAGGUGGUUUGUCGCGUUGUUCGUGAAAACUCACAGCUUAACUGUGGGCGUGCGGGCGAUACGGGCAGACUUGAGUACUGCAGGGGAGACUGGAAUUCCUGGUGUAGCGGUGGAAUGCGCAGAUAUCAGGAGGAACACCGGUGGCGAAGGCGGGUCUCUGGGCAGUAACUGACGCUGAGGAGCGAAAGCGUGGGGAGCGAACAGGAUUAGAUACCCUGGUAGUCCACGCCGUAAACGGUGGGUACUAGGUGUGGGUUUCCUUCCUUGGGAUCCGUGCCGUAGCUAACGCAUUAAGUACCCCGCCUGGGGAGUACGGCCGCAAGGCUAAAACUCAAAGAAAUUGACGGGGGCCCGCACAAGCGGCGGAGCAUGUGGAUUAAUUCGAUGC
rnacentral:rRNA from 1 species